AUACUGGAUAUGAGCUCUCAUCGCAUGGUGGGGGUUGGAAAGAUUUUUCGGUCUGGGAUGGGCUCGCGGCCUAUCAGCUUGUUGGUGAGGUAAUGGCUCACCAAGGCGUCGACGGGUAGCCGGCCUGAGAGGGUGACCGGCCACACUGGGACUGAGACACGGCCCAGACUCCUACGGGAGGCAGCAGUGGGGAAUAUUGCACAAUGGGCGGAAGCCUGAUGCAGCAACGCCGCGUGAGGGAUGACGGCCUUCGGGUUGUAAACCUCUUUUAGCAGGGAAGAAGCGAGAGUGACGGUACCUGCARAAAAAGCGCCGGCUAACUACGUUGCCAGCAGCCGCGGUAAUACGUAGGGCGCAAGCGUUAUCCGGAAUUAUUGGGCGUAAAGAGCUCGUAGGCGGUUUGUCGCGUCUGCUGUGAAAUCCCGAGGCUCAACCUCGGGCCUGCAGUGGGUACGGGCAGACUAGAGUGCGGUAGGGGAGAUUGGAAUUCCUGGUGUAGCGGUGGAAUGCGCAGAUAUCAGGAGGAACACCGAUGGCGAAGGCAGAUCUCUGGGCCGUAACUGACGCUGAGGAGCGAAAGGGUGGGGAGCAAUACAGGCUUAGAUACCCUGGUAGUCCACCCCGUAAACGUUGGGAACUAGUUGUGGGGACCAUUCCACGGUUUCCGUGACGCAGCUAACGCAUUAAGUUCCCCGCCUGGGGAGUACGGCCGCAAGGCUAAACUCAAAGGAAUUGACGGGGACCCGCACWAGCGGCGGAGCAUGCGGAUUAAUUCGAUGCAACGCGAAGAACCUUACCAGGCUUGACAUACUCCA
rnacentral:rRNA from 1 species